GUCCACGCUGUAAACGAUGUCAACUAGCCGUUGGUCCUUUUAGGAGGAUAAGUGGCGCAGCUAACGCAUUAAGUUGACCGCCUGGGGAGUACGGCCGCAAGGUUAAAACUCAAAUGAAUUGACGGGGCCCGCACAAGCGGUGGAGCAUGUGGUUUAAUUCGAUGCAACGCGAAGAACCUUACCUACCCUUGACAUCCUAAGAACCGGUUGGAGACAGCCGGGUGCCUUCGGGAGCUUAGAGACAGGUGCUGCAUGGCUGUCGU
rnacentral:rRNA from 1 species